rnacentral:rRNA from 1 species
AAUCAACGCUGGCGGCGUGCCUAACACAUGCAAGUCGAACGCGAAAAGGGCUUCGGCUCUGAGUAGAGUGGCGUCCGGGUGAGUAACGCGUGGGUAAUCUACCUUUGGGUGGGAAUAACUAGUCGAAAGGCUAGCUAAUACCGCAUAAUGCAAUUUUCUAUUAGGGAAUUGUUAAAGCAGUAAUGUGCCUAAAGAUGAGCCUGCGUCUGAUUAGUUUGUUGGUAGGGUAAUGGCCUACCAAGACUACUAUCAGUAGCUGGUCUGAGAGGACGGCCAGCCACAAUGGCACUGAAACACGGGCCAUACUCCUACGGGAGGCAGCAGUGGGGAAUUUUGCGCAAUGAGCGAAAGCUUGACGCAGCAACGCCGCGUGAAGGAUGAAAUCCUUCGGGAUGUAAACUUCGCAAGUAUGGGAAGAAAAAAUGACGGUACCAUAUGUAAGCCCCGG